GCACCAGUUGUCACGCCAGUGGCACAGCUGGGUAGCUAUGUUGGGACUGGAUAAACGCUGAAAGCAUCUAAGCGUGAAGCCAACCUCAAGAUGAGAUUUCCCAUAGCGUAAGCUAGUAAGACUCCUGGAAGAACACCAGGUUGAUAGGUCAGAGAUGUAAGCAUGGCAACAUGUUAAGUUGACUGAUACUAAUAAGUCGAGGGCUUGACCAAAA
rnacentral:rRNA from 1 species